GUUAGGCUGCCGUUGGUCCCGAGACUCCCCCAUCUGCGCCCCCGCCCUGCCCUGCGAGGCCGCCGCCGCGCGCCCCACCGUCUGUUGCAGUGGAGCGUGAGCCGCGGCUGCGGCUCCUGGUUCUUGUGGAAGCACCGACCAUGUGCCGAGAGCUAACUGUGUCAAGAAGAGCAUGCUUCAGUUGGCUGGAGUGAGCAAUUCAACUUGUGGAGGAGUGAGAAAUGUUAGUGUUGAGACAAGAAACGUAAAACCCCAGGGACAGCAAGGCUGAGGAGAAUGGCUCCCACAGCUUCAUGCACUCCAUGGACCCACAGCUGGAGCGGCAAAUGGAAACCACCCAGAACCUGGUGGACUCCUACAUGGCCAUUGUCAACAAGACCGUGUGGGACCUCAUGACCAAGGAGUUCAUCUUCUCGGAGCUGCUGUCCAACCUGCGCUCGCGUGGGAACGAGAAGACACUCAUGGAGGAGUCGGCAGAGUAGGCACAGCGGCGCGACGAGAUGCUGCUUCUCAGAGCUGCUGUCCAACCUGCACUCGCUUGGGAACCAGAAGACACUCGUGGAGGAGUCGGCAGAGCAGGCACAGCGGCGCGACGAGACUCGCGUGGGAAGAAAUAGACACUCCUGGAGGAGUCGGCAGAGCAGGCACAGCGGCGCGACGAGACUCGCGUGGGAACGAGAAGACACUCCUGGAGGAGUCGGCAGAGCAGGCAGACCAAGGAGUUCAUCUUCUCGGAGCUGCUGUCCAACCUGCACUCGCGUAGGGACAAGAAGACACUCCUGCAGGAGUCGGCGGAGCAGGCAGACCAAGGAGUUCAUCUUCUCAGAGCUGCUGUCCAACCUGCACUCGCGUGGGAACGAGAAGACACUCCUGGAGGAGUCGGCGGAGCAGGCACAGCGGCGCGACGAGAUGCUGCGCAUGCACCACGUGCUGAAAGAGGCUCUCAGCAUCAUCGGCAACAUCAACACGAACACCGUCAGCACAGCUACGGGGGCCCGUGGACGACGCCUAGCUGCAG
rnacentral:lncRNA from 1 species